CGUAGGGGGCAAGCGUUGUCCGGAAUCAUUGGGCGUAAAGAGCGUGUAGGCGGCCCGAUAAGUCCGCCGUGAAAGUCCAGGGCUCAACCCUGGGAUGCCGGUGGAAACUGUCGGGCUAGAGUCCGGAAGAGGCGAGUGGAAUUCCUGGUGUAGCGGUGAAAUGCGCAGAUAUCAGGAGGAACACCAAUGGCGAAGGCAGCUCGCUGGGACGGUACUGACGCUGAGACGCGAAAGCGUGGGGAGCGAACAGGAUUAGAUACCCUGGUAGUCCACGCUGUAAACGAUGGGCACUAGGUGUGGGGGGUGUCGACUCCCUCCGUGCCGGCGCUAACGCAUUAAGUGCCCCGCCUGGGGAGUACGGCCGCAAGGCUA
rnacentral:rRNA from 1 species